rnacentral:lncRNA from 10 species
UUUCAGCUGCUCGCGCUCGCUUGCCUUCCCGUCCCUGCCGGAGUCAGCAGACCCUGACUUCUGGAGAAGCGUUGCUGCGAUGUGUCAGCUGCUCGGGGAGAGGCUGGAGUGAUGGAUUCCAAGAGCUGUCAGGAGAAAGGGUUUACGGGGGGAGAUCCCAGGGCUUCCCUGGGUCCCAGUGUCACGGCCGAAAGCCAGAGGCUAUGAGCAAUCUGAUGCUAGUCCCGAUGUCUUGGUUAUCUCUUGUGUAUCCAGCACCCAAGGGAAGGAGCAUCCCAUGGCUACAACUCUCAAGCAUCGAAAUGGAACCUGUGAGAGUUCUUCACCCCACAGGGAACUCCUUCCACCAAACUUAGGGGAGCGAGAAAGGGGACAGGGCUGGAUUUGCAUAUGUUAAUAUGGAGAACUGCAACUAUUUAAUGAGAAGCAGUGGGCCACGUGGGAAGAGUUUUCAUUUUACCAAAAGAUUGCACUUGCAUUUCCCAGUUCAUCCUCCCAGUAGCGCCAUGAAGUGUGUAUAAUUGUCCCCAUUUUACAAAGGAGGACACUGAGGCUUGGAGGAGGCAGUGGAGCACAGUUGAGCUCUGGAAGCAGCACAGUGAUGCGUGGUGAGCCUCAGCCGGCGCAAAUGCAAGCUGGAGGGUCCUGGGUUCAGUGGCUAUGUCACAGCCUCAUCACAGACCUGAAAAUGGUGGG